AGCUGCUUGGCGCAGCGGAAGCGCGCCGGGCUCAUAUCCCGGAGGUCACUCGACCGAAACGAGUCGCAGCUA